rnacentral:lncRNA from 1 species
AACUUUUUGGAAUCGUAGUGUUAAAAUAGUUCUGCCUUAUUCUACCUUCGAAAUAUUCUACUCCUUCAAUGUGAAAAAAUUGUCAAACCUUUGCUUUAAUCUUUCAUUUAAGAGUUUUUGUAGCUUGCGUCCGCAAAUAUAUUUUUAGGAAUCUAGCGAAGACGUUAUUCAAUUGGGGAGCUUUUGAUUGUUUAUAUAAAAAUGAAACUUUUUGGAAACAUAGCGUCGGAAUAGAUCUACCUUAUUGUACCUUCGAAAUAAUCUAUAUGUUCGAUGUAAAAAAACUGCCAAACCUUUGCAUUAAUGUAUCAUUUAAAAUUUUUUGUAGUUUUUUCUUGAUAUAGUUUUAUAACAAACGGGAAGUAAAAUAUGUAUGCGACGUAUUUGAAAGGUUUUUGGAGAUUUCACUUUGUACCAGAGAUUUUGCAAGCUUUCGUUGUAGCAUUAAAAAAAAUUUACCUUUUAGGUUUUGCUUAGACAAAUAUAGCUUUGGGAAUAUAGCGAAGAAAUUAUUCAAGUUUGGAUCUUUUGAUUUUUCAUAGAGAAAUGUAACUUUUUGGAAUCGUAGUGUUGAAAUCAUUGUACCUUGUACCUUCGAAAUAAUCUACACCUUCAAUGUGAAAAAAUUAUCAAAUCAUUGUGUUUUGUGUUGACCUGUCAUUUAAGAUUUUUUGUAGUUUUGUCUUGAUAUAGUUUUAUAAGAAACGGGGAGUAAAAAAUGUAUGCGUCGUAUUUGAAAUGUUUUUGGAAGAUUUCACUUGGUACCAGAAAUAUUGCAAGCUUUCGUUGUAGCAUUGAAAAAAAUUUUCCUUUUAGGUUUUGCUUAGACAAAUAUAACUUUGGGAAUCUAGCGAAGAAAUUAUUCAAGUUUGGAUCUUUUUUAUUUUUCAUAGAGAAAUGUAACUUUUUGAAAUCGUAAUUUUAAAAUCAUUGUACCUUAUUGUACCUUCGAAAUAAUCUACACCUUCAAUGUAAAAAAAUUGUCAAACCUUUGAAUCAAUGUAUCACUUAAGAUUUUUUGUAGUUUUUGCUUGAUAUAGUUAUAAAUGAAACAGGGAGUAAAAAAUGUAUGCGUCGCAUUUAAAAUGUUUUUGGUUGAUUUCACUGUGGACCAGAAAUUUCGCAAGCUUUCAUAGUAUCACUCAAAUUAAAAUAUACCUUUACGGUUUUGCUAAGACAAAUAUAGCUUUGGGUAUCUAGCAAAGAAAUUAUUCAGUUUUGAGCCUUUUGAUUUUUUUAUAGAAAAAUGUAACUUUUUGAAAUCGUAAUUGUGAAAUCAUUGUACCUUAUUGUACCUUCGAAAUAAUCUACAACUUCAAUGUAAAAAAAUUGUCAAAUCAAUGUAUUAACCUAUUUUAAGAUUUUUUGUAGUGUUCUCUUGAUAUAGUUUUAUAAGAAAGGGGGAGUAAAAAAUGUAUGCGUCGUAUUUGAAAUGUUGAGAGAUUUCACUUUGUACCAGAAAUUUUGUAAGCUUCCUUUGUAUCAUUAAAAAAAA